rnacentral:rRNA from 1 species
UAACACGAACCGUACGAACGUUAUUCGGAAUCACUGGGCUUAAAGAGUACGUAGGCGGCCGCGCAAGUUGGGUGUGAAAUCCCUCGGCUCAACCGAGGAAUUGCGCUCAAAACUGCGUGGCUUGAGGAAGACAGGGGUGAGUGGAACUAAUGGUGGAGCGGUGAAAUGCGUUGAUAUCAUUAGGAACACCAGUGGCGAAGGCGACUCACUGGGUCUUUUCUGACGCUGAGGUACGAAAGCCAGGGGAGCGAACGGG